GCCGAGGUGAUGGAAUUGGUAGACAUGCUUGGCUUAGAACCAAGUGCCUGACGGUGUAGGGGUUCGAGUCCCCUCCUCGGUA
rnacentral:tRNA from 1 species